CUCAGUUCGGAUUGGAGUCUGCAACCCGACUCCAUGAAGCUGGAUUCGCUAGUAAUCGCGCAUCAGCCACGGCGCGGUGAAUACGUUCCCGGGCCUUGUACACACCGCCCGUCAAGCCAUGGAAGCCGGGAGUGCCUGAAGUGCGUGAGCGCAAGCAGCGCCCUAAGGUAAAACCGGUGACUGGGGCUAAGUCGUAACAAGGUAUC
rnacentral:rRNA from 1 species